GACGAACGCUGGCGGCGUGCUUAACACAUGCAAGUCGAACGGAAAGGCCCUGCUUGCAGGGUACUCGAGUGGCGAGCGGGUGAGUAACACGUGGGUGAUCUGCCCUGCACUUCGGGAUAAGCUUGGGAAACUGGGUCUAAUACCGGAUAGGAACCAUCUUUAGUGUGGUGGUUGGAAAGUUUUUUCGGUGUAGGAUGAGCUCGCGGCCUAUCAGCUUGUUGGUGGGGUAAUGGCCUACCAAGGCGGCGACGGGUAGCCGGCCUGAGAGGGUGUACGGCCACAUUGGGACUGAGAUACGGCCCAGACUCCUACGGGAGGCAGCAGUGGGGAAUAUUGCACAAUGGGCGCAAGCCUGAUGCAGCGACGCCGCGUGGGGGAUGAAGGCCUUCGGGUUGUAAACUCCUUUCGCUAGGGACGAAGCUUUGUUGUGACGGUACCUAGAUAAGAAGCACCGGCUAACUACGUG
rnacentral:rRNA from 1 species